rnacentral:rRNA from 1 species
GACGAACCGGACGAACGUUAUUCGGAAUUACUGGGCUUAAAGAGUUCGUAGGCGGCCAAGAAGGGGAUGUGUGAAAUCCCACGGCUCAACCGUGGAAUGGCGCUUCAAACCACUUGGCUGGAGGAAGGUAGGGGUGAGCGGAACUGAUGGUGGGGCGGUGAAAUGCGUUCAUAUCAUCAGGAACACCGGUGGCGAAGGCGGCUCACUGGACCUUUUCUGACGGUGAGGACCGAAAUCCGGAGUAGCGAACGGG